AGCGAACGCUGGCGGCGUGCUUAACACAUGCAAGUCGAACGUGAAAGGGAGCAAUCCCAAGUAAAGUGGCGUACGGGUGAAUAACGCGUAGGUAAUCUACCCCAAAAUCUGGAAUAACUUGCCGAAAGGCGGGCUAAUACUGGAUAGAGCGAUGGAAUCCGUAAUUGGGGUUUUCGGGAAAGGGAGGCAGCAAUGCCCCUCGUCUUGGGGUGAGCCUGCGUCUCAUUAGCUAGUUGGCGAGGUAAUAGCUCACCAAGGCUUUGAUGGGUAGCUGGUCUGAGAGGAUGAUCAGCCAAACUGGAACUGAAACACGGUCCAGACUCCUACGGGAGGCAGCAGUGGGGAAUCUUGCGCAAUGGACGAAAGUCUGACGCAGCCACGCCGCGUGAGUGAGGAAGGCCUUCGGGUUGUAAAGCUCUGUCGGGCGGGACGAAAAUGCAUUAAGUGAAUAGCUUAGUGUACUGACGGUACCGCCAAAGGAAGCACCGGCUAACUCCGUGCCAGCCGCCGCGGUAA
rnacentral:rRNA from 1 species